GAUGAAUGCUGGCGGCGUGCUUAACACAUGCAAGUCGAGGGGUAGAGUUAGCUUGCUAACUUGAGACCGGCGCACGGGUGCGUAACGCGUAUGCAAUCUACCUUCAACAGGGGGAUAGCCCAGAGAAAUUUGGAUUAAUACCCCAUAGUAUUUUAGUGUGGCAUCACAUUAUUAUUAAGGUUCCAACGGUUGAAGAUGAGCAUGCGUCCCAUUAGCUAGAUGGUAAGGUAACGGCUUACCAUGGCGACGAUGGGUAGGGGUCCUGAGAGGGAGAUCCCCCACACUGGUACUGAGACACGGACCAGACUCCUACGGGAGGCAGCAGUGAGGAAUAUUGGUCAAUGGGCGCAAGCCUGAACCAGCCAUGCCGCGUGCAGGAUGAAGCAUCUAUGGUGUGUAAACUGCUUUUGUACGGGAAGAAACACCGAUUCGUGAAUCGGCUUGACGGUACCGUAAGAAUAAGGAUCGGCUAACUCCGUGCCAGCCGCCGCCGUAA
rnacentral:rRNA from 1 species